GGGCCUUGCUGGCCAUUGACAGUCAGCCCAAAGGUCAGCGAGGAUCAGCCCAGGUGCGAAGCCCGCUUUUCUUCUACCCUCUACGGAACGCCCCUUGCAUGGUUAAGUUUUGGGUGUGUGGAUCUUCAAAUGGAGUGCUUUCGCUCUGGAUUAUAGAGAACAGCACAGGACCUGAGGGUCAGCGGAGUCUCUGGAACUCAACAAGCGAAGCUAAUAUGGGGAAAGGGUGGAAACUCAUUACCCUACCACUCUUCGGUUUGGUGGAUCUGUUCUACCUGCAGUUCAAUGCUGAUAUUUCCUCUAGUGCAGGAAUUGCAUUUGCUGUGGAUAACUUCACUCUGAGCAUGGAAUGCUUCCUUGAAACCAAUGGAGAGUUUCCUCCGGUGGCUCCCACAAACCCCACGCAAGUGCUGUUCACACCAAGCAAUGAGAACAUCAAGACCACUACAGCACUCUAUGUAGAGCCUGGAGCGUCUACAGAAUGUGAGUUUUAACUACUUUCAUGUGUUUGAGCUGUUUGUCUUUUUUUGAGUCGUUUCUAACUUUUAUCUAGCUUGUUCUGAUUGAAAUUUGUUCCAAUGCUGUGAGGUGCAGAUAUGUGCUGUUGUAUUGAAACAACACAGUAGACGAGCACCAAAACAAACACAUUUUAGUCAUUGUUCAAUGGUUUGUUUUAAACUAGUCUCUUACACCUACCCAAACCAGUAAGUCAAGAAGCAGCUGUCUGAUUGACAUGCAAAACAUCAAAUAGAGAGAGAGAGAAAUCAGAGAAAUUACACUGUGAAGAAAUGAACCAAAUAUCAGUGGUGGACGAAGUACACAAAUCAAGUACUUGAGUAAAAAUACAGAUACGUAUAAUAAAAUAAUACUCCAGUAAAAGUAAAAGUACUCCUUUUUCAAUUUUACUCGAGUGAAAGU
rnacentral:lncRNA from 12 species